AUCUAGAACCCUAGCGAGAAGCGGCGGCGCGCGAAGGCCAGGGCGCGGCAGGGAGGCGCGGCGGCCCCGCGGGCCAGCGUGCGGUGGAGAGGGACGGCGGCGCUUUGCGCGCUGGUAGGGAGGGCGAAGAGGAGCGGCAUCCUCGCGCUGCGGACCGGCGGGCGCGCGCACAGCCAGGCUCGUCAGCCGUCGUCGCCACUGCCCGGCGUCCAGCCGCCGGCUGCUGCGCGCACCGACUUGUCACCACCCCAGCACGUCCUCCACGUAUACAAGCGCUACGGUCCACCGCGGCAGCGUCGACGUCCUUGUCCGCAAACAUGGUGGUGGCAGCUUCCUCAUCGAGCAGCAGCAACUCAUCCUCGAGGGGAAGGGCCCAGAGCUUCUAAUCCUACACGGCAACAACACUUUAUACUUGUGUAUAAUUUCUCUUCGUUUCUGAGUUCAUGGCUAUCUUUGUCUCUCUUAUCUUCUCCCUUUUGCUAUCUCUAUAUUUGUGAUUGCCAUGGAAAUACAGAAGACGAGGGGCCGCUGAUGUAUUGACUUGUGAGUUCUAGUUUGGGGGCUUUCGUUUGCAAGGAUUUUCAUUUGAUUGAUCUUCUUGAUUUGUUAUUUUGGAUCGAAGCUGGCU
rnacentral:sRNA from 1 species